rnacentral:misc_RNA from 1 species
AACGCACAUUGCGCCCGCCAGUAUUCUGGCGGGCAUGCCUGUUCGAGCGUCAUUUCAACCCUCAAGCACCUUCGGGAGCUUGGUGUUGGGGAUCGGCAGGGCGUCCUUCGGGUCGCGCCGUCCCCCAAAUUUAGUGGCGGUCUCGCUGUAGCUUCCUCUGCGUAGUAAUACACCUCGCUCUGGAGUCUCGGUGCGACCACGCCGUAAAACCCCCAACUUUUUCUGGUUGACCUCGAAUCAGGUAGGACUACCCGCUGAACUUAA